rnacentral:rRNA from 1 species
AGUGAACGCUGGCGGUAGGCCUAACACAUGCAAGUCGAACGGCAGCACAGUAAGAGCUUGCUCUUACGGGUGGCGAGUGGCGGACGGGUGAGGAAUACAUCGGAAUCUACUUUUUCGUGGGGGAUAACGUAGGGAAACUUACGCUAAUACCGCAUACGACCUACGGGUGAAAGCAGGGGAUCUUCGGACCUUGCGCGAUUGAAUGAGCCGAUGUCGGAUUAGCUAGUUGGCGGGGUAAAGGCCCACCAAGGCGACGAUCCGUAGCUGGUCUGAGAGGAUGAUCAGCCACACUGGAACUGAGACACGGUCCAGACUCCUACGGGGGGCAGCAGUGGGGAAUAUUGGACAAUGGGCGCAAGCCUGAUCCAGCCAUACUGCGUGGGUGAAGAAGGCCUUCGGGUUGUAAAGCCCUUUUGUUGGGAAAGAAAAGCAGCAGGUUAAUACCCCGCUGUUCUGACGGUACCCAAAGAAUAAGUACCGGCUAACUUCGUG